AAUGAACGUUGGCGGCGUGGAUUAGGCAUGCAAGCCGAGCGCGAACCCCGCAAGGGGUGAAAGCGGCGAAAGGGAGAGUAACGCGUGGGUAUCUGCCCUCGGGACUGGGAUAGCUGCGGGGAACUGCAGGUAAUACCAGAUGACGUCCCCGGACCAAAGGUGUGAUUCCGCCUGAGGAUGAGCCCGCGUCCUAUUAGCUAGUUGGUGGGGUAAUGGCCUACCAAGGCAAUGAUGGGUACUGGGUGUGAGAGCACGACCCAGCUCACUGGGACUGAGACACUGCCCAGACACCUACGGGUGGCUGCAGUCGAGAAUCUUCGGCAAUGGGCGAAAGCCUGACCGAGCGACGCCGCGUGUGGGAUGAAGGCCUUCGGGUUGUAAACCGCUGUCAGAGGGGAGGAAUGGGCGGAGGGUAAUCUCUUCGUUUUGACCUAUCCUCAGAGGAAGUACGGGCUAAGUUCGUGCCAGCCGCCGCGGUAA
rnacentral:rRNA from 1 species